rnacentral:rRNA from 1 species
UGCUCCGGUUGGGUGCAUGUCCUUCCGGGAAAGAUUCCAUCGGUAUGGGAUGGGGUCGCGUCCUAUCAGCUUGAUGGCGGGGUAACGGCCCACCAUGGCCUCGACGGGUAGCCGGCCUGAGAGGGCGACCGGCCACACUGGGACUGAGAUACGGCCCAGACUCCUACGGGAGGCAGCAGUGGGGAAUAUUGCACAAUGGGCGCAAGCCUGAUACAGCGACGCCGCGUGCGGGAUGGAGGCCUUCGGGUUGUAAACCGCUUUUGAUCGGGAGCAAGCCCCUCGGGGUGAGUGUACCCUUCGAAUAAGCACCGGCUAACUACGUGCCAGCAGCCGCGGUAAUACGUAGGGUGCAAGCGUUAUCCGGAAUUAUUGGGCGUAAAGGGCUCGUAGGCGGUUCGUCGCGUCCGGUGUGAAAGCCCAUCGCUUAACGGUGGGUCUGCGCCGGGUACGGGCGGGCUGGAGUGCGGUAGGGGAGACUGGAAUUCCCGGUGUAACGGUGGAAUGUGUAGAUAUCGGGAAGAACACCAAUGGCGAAGGCAGGUCUCUGGGCCGUCACUGACACUGAGGAGCGAAAGCGUGGGGAGCGAACAGGAUUAGAUACCCUGGUAGUCCACGCCGUAAACGGUGGAUGCUGGAUGUGGGGCCCGUUCCACGGGUUCCGUGUCGGAGCUAACGCGUUAAGCAUCCCGCCUGGGGAGUACGGCCGCAGGGCUAAAACUCAAAGAAAUUGACGGGGGCCCGCACAAGCGGCGGAGCAUGCGGAUUAAUUCGAUGCAACGCGAAGAACCUUACCAAGGCUUGACAUACACCGGAAACGGCCAGAGAUGGUCGCCCCCUUGUGGUCGGUGUACAGGUGGUGCAUGGUUGUCGUCAGCUCGUGUCGUGAGAUGUUGGGUUAAGUCCCGCAACGAGCGCAACCCUCGUUCUAUGUUGCCAGCGCGUUAUGGCGGGGACUCAUAGGAGACUGCCGGGGUCAACUCGGGGGAAGGUGGGGAUGACGUCAAAUCAUCAUGCCCCUUAUGUCUUGGGCUUCACGCAUGCUACAAUGGCCGGUACAAAGGGCUGCGAUACCGUAAGGUGGAGCGAAUCCCAAAAAGCCGGUCUCAGUUCGGAUUGAGGUCUGCAACUCGACCUCAUGAAGUCGGAGUCGCUAGUAAUCGCGAAUCAGCAACGU